UACGAAGGGGGCUAGCGUUGCUCGGAAUCAUUGGGCGAAAGGGCGUGUAGGCGGUUUGUUAAGUCAUGUGUGAAAUCCCUCGGCUCAACCUCGGGUCUGCAGUCGAUACGAGCAAACUAGAGUGUUGCAGGGGAGACUGGAAUUCCUGGUGUAGCGGUGAAAUGCGCAGAUAUCAGGAGGGAACACCGGUGGGCGAAAGG
rnacentral:rRNA from 1 species